CCUACGGGAGGCAGCAGUGAGGAAUAUUGGUCAAUGGGCGAGAGCCUGAACCAGCCAAGUCGCGUGAAGGAUGACGGCCCUACGGGUUGUAAACUUCUUUUGUCAGGGAGCAAUUGAGUCCACGUGUGGUUUUAUCGAGAGUACCUGAAGAAAAAGCAUCGGCUAACUCCGUCCCAGCAGCCGCGGUAAUACGGAGGAUGCGAGCGUUAUCCGGAUUUAUUGGGUUUAAAGGGUGAGUAGGCGGAAUAUCAAGUCAGCGGUAAAAAUUCGGGUCUAAACCUCGUCGUGCGGUUGAAACUGAUGUUCUUGAGUGGGCGGGAGGUAGGCGGAAUGCGUGGUGUAGCGGUGAAAUGCAUAGAUAUCACGCAGAACUCCGAUUGUGAAGGCAGCAUACCGGCGCCCAACUGACGCUGAAGCACGAAAGCGUGGGUAUCGAACAGGAUUAGAUACCCUGGUAGUC
rnacentral:rRNA from 1 species